GAUGAAGAACGUAGCGAAAUGCGAUACUUGGUGUGAAUUGCAGAAUCCCGCGAAUCAUCGAGUUUUUGAACGCAAGUUGCGCCCGAAGCCAUUCGGCCGAGGGCACGUCUGCCUGGGUGUCACGCAUCGUUGCCCCCCCAAACUCCGGUUCGGGCGGGGCGGAAGUUGGCCUCCCGUGCGUGCCUGCGCGCGCGGUUAGCCCAAAAGCGAGUCCUCGGCGACGAGCGCCACGACAAUCGGUGGUUUUUUUACCCUCGUUCCUCGUCGUGCGUGCCCCGUCGCCCGAACGCGCUCUUGCGACCCUUACGCGUCGCCUCGGCGGCGCUCCCAACGCGACCCCAGGUCAGGCGGGACUACCCGCUGAGUUUAAGCAUAUCAGUAAGCGGAGGA
rnacentral:misc_RNA from 1 species